ACACCGUGCAAAUUGGCUAUAGGAACGAUUAAUAAUAUUGUUGCAAUAGCAACCGUACUUGAUGAUAGCAAUGGUGGUCCCAAUGUUAAAAUCUUGGUGGACUUGCUCACAGGAGGAGAUUGUAGUUUACCUAUUCCAGUGAAGGGCAAGAUAGAGACUUUAAAUCAAGCAUUAGAUAUCUUUGGGAUGAAUGUGAUUGUGGAAGCAAGUUUUUUGUUAUGACCAAGCAAAAAUAACAUCACAUAUCAAGGAUCGUGAUCUCCGAUCCAGAAAUUUUGCCAACCAGUUAGAAGCGGCUACCUUGGAACAAAUAGUUCUAAUUCCGUAUAAUACUGGUUUUCAUUGGAUGUUGCAUGUCAUCGAUCUUCGAGAGAACUGUGUUUAUGUUUUGGACUCUCUUCAAAGUAAAGUUAACGAAGACAUCCAUGGAGUCAUAAAUGUGACUUAUGAUUUACUUCUUAUUUGACUUCAUUGUCUUCUAAUUCUAAUGUUUCCAAAUGUAUAGAGGAUUAAAAACAUGGCAAGCUAAGCAUGAUUUACAACAUUAUCGGUCAAAUCCGAAAUGGAAACCUAUAAAGUUUAAUACAAAAAAGUGCAUAUACGCAAGAGGAGAUUGACGAGAUUUGAACAAAAUAUGCAAGCUUUGUUAGCCGAUUUGUGUAAGCUUUUACACUUUUUUUUGUAGUUUAUAAGUUACUAGUACUAAUACUAAUUGUUUUAAUAUAUAAGCUACGAGAUUCUAGUACUA